GACGAACGCUGGCGGCGUGCUUAACACAUGCAAGUCGAACGGAAAGGCCCUGCUUUUGUGGGUUUCUCGAGUGGCGAACGGGUGAGUAACACGUGAGUAACCUGCCCUUGACUUUGGGAUAACUUCAGGAAACUGGGGCUAAUACCGGAUAGGAGCUCCUGCUGCAUGGUGGGGGUUGGAAAGUUUCGGCGGUUGGGGAUGGACUCGCGGCUUAUCAGCUUGUUGGUGGGGUAGUGGCUUACCAAGGCUUUGACGGGUAGCCGGCCUGAGAGGGUGACCGGCCACAUGGGGACUGAGAUACGGCCCAGACGGCUACGGGAGGCAGCAGGGGGGAAUAUUGCACAAUGGGCGGAAGCCAGAUGCAGCAACGCCGCGUGCUGGAUGACGGCCUUCGGGGUGUAAACAGCUUUCGACUGUGACGAAGAGUGAGUGACGGUAAUGGGUAAAGAAGCACCGGCUAACUACGUG
rnacentral:rRNA from 1 species